rnacentral:lncRNA from 1 species
CUCCACCUUUGGGCAAGAUGGCUGCGCCCACUGGCUUUGCCGGGAGGGAGGGGCUGCUAUUCUCACGCGCCGAUCUGGAUUCAGAUCAGUUCUGUUCUCUGGUCUCCCGAGGCCCUGGGUUUAUGGGGUCCCCACGGACGGAAGCUUUCCCCCCAUCAGUGGGUUUCCACUGAACCAGCGGCAGGAGUCCUGGAUGAUCCCCCGGUCGCGCGGCCCCUCCCCCACUCCUUCGUGACCCACGCCGCAGCCAUCGCAGACUCUAGGGGAGGGAGCAAUGUUCUCUCCUAUCGUUCCAGCACCUCCAAGGCCAAAAUAACACAUUGGUUAUAGACGAAGCUCUCCGUGUGCCCUUUCCAGACUCCACUUCCCUCUCUCCUCCUCCUAUGAUCUGGCUCCUGAACUUGGUGGCCCUCCUGAUCUGCCUGGAAAUGGAUUUGUUAACUUGGAAUGCCAUCACCAAGAUUUAACGUAAGAAAAGUUCAUUUUCUUGGCCGUGGAAGUCAAAUAAACCCCAAAUCGAAAGAUAUAAGCAGGGUGUAUGUUUUCACGUGUUAAGACAUCUUCCAUAGCUCAAGCGUUUCUUUCUCCAUCCUAUAUCUCAAAAGCCAGGAUGAUCAUCUUUUGAGUCCCAGUUCAGAAGAGCUCCUUCUCCCCACGUGCUUCCUUAACCGUCUGCUAAGUGUCUGCACCAGUGGUCUAGACGCGUGAGAACACACCCCUCUUCCUUGCUACUGAACUGAUUCCUGUGCAAGUCUUAGUUCCAAAUUGUUGCAAAAUUCCUUGAUGACAGUGACUGUGACCAUGACUUUAAUCUUCCUCAGGGUCUAAAACAGCGCUGUGCAUAUCAAAGGCACUCAGGUCAUGCUGGGUGAGUGACAAACCAUAGGGGAAAUUCAUGAAAGAUCUCAAGACUCUGAGCUUCCCUGGUAAAGAGGACAGGGCGUGUAAGUCACGGCCAAGGCUCCAGACGCCGCUACAUGAGGCGGCACCUGCGGAAAACCCGAC